AACGUACGCUGGCGGCAGGCUUAACACAUGCAAGUCGAGCGCCCCGCAAGGGGAGCGGCAGACGGGUGAGUAACGCGUGGGAACGUACCUUUUGGUUCGGAACAACUCCGGGAAACUGGAGCUAAUACCGGAUAAGCCCUAACGGGGAAAGAUUUAUCGCCGAAAGAUCGGCCCGCGUCUGAUUAGCUAGUUGGUGAGGUAACGGCUCACCAAGGCGACGAUCAGUAGCUGGUCUGAGAGGAUGAUCAGCCACACUGGGACUGAGACACGGCCCAGACUCCUACGGGAGGCAGCAGUGGGGAAUAUUGGACAAUGGGCGCAAGCCUGAUCCAGCCAUGCCGCGUGAGUGAUGAAGGCCUUAGGGUUGUAAAGCUCUUUUGUCCGGGAAGAUAAUGACUGUACCGGAAGAAUAAGCCCCGGCUAACUUCGUG
rnacentral:rRNA from 1 species